GGCUGUUGAAACCUUCCUUAAUGUGAGGCCAGAGACAGGCGGACAGCAAAUGUAUCGCAGCGGGCUGGAUGACAUGGCCCUUGGAACCUGUGCACAUGCCUGCCUUUCUGAUGCACAUCCGUGUUUUCUCUGCACCUCCCCAGUGGUGUUCGUGUAAAAAGCAGGCUCAUGUUAGCAAGGAAUGAUUGUCAUCUCAUGUGAUCCUGCGAGAUGGCAGAAGUCCGGGGCCACAUGGAGUGUGGGCUCCUUCGGAGGCUGAUGGAACCCUCCUGAAUGAGUUGUGGCAAUGGAAGUAAGGCCAGUGGCUACGAGGGACAGUCUUCAUCUUGGAAGAUCCAUUGAGAUGGCAGGGAGCCCCUUGACAAGUGGAAUCUGGUCUCCUUUGGUGCUGGUGGAUCCCACAGGUGGUCUGGCAUGGAAGAAGGCCACAGGCUACGAUGGAUGAUGUUUGUCUUGGGGGAUUCCUGGAGAUGGUGGGGAGCCCCUGAGCACGUGCGGCACAUGUGGCAUGGGCUUCUUCAGAAGCUGGUGGACCCCUCAGGAUGCUCGUCAAGGUUUUUCUAUGAGUUCUGUUAAAGAGUCGGAAAAUGGAGCCUAGAAGACAUGCUCCAUUUCCAGGAUGGUUGUGUUUUCCAGAGAGGCGUAGGUAAGCCAUUGGCACAGCCCUGCCUCCCACAGAUAAUUCCGGGUGCAAUGUUUCAUAUCUAGACUUGGACUUCUGUCCUACCAUACUUCUUUGUGUGCAGUUCAUUGUGGAACCAGCACAGAUUUCCAUAUGAAAGUUAUUUUUUUUAACCUCCAAAAGUGACAGAAUGGAGUGUAUCAUGGAAAAAUCUGACAUCAAAACCUCAAAAUGUGAUAUUGAUUGGGUGAGAUAGAAUUCCAUGGAAUUUCAUUGCCAAACCAGUGAAGUGCUAAUUUUGACAUUUGUACCAGCUGAUGUAGCUGUGAAGAAGCACAUCAAUACCACUUCUAAGGACAGCGUAGACCAAGAACUGGGUUUCAUAUGGAGGAAUCUAUUCUUCCUUUGAGGCAAGACAAGAAGGAAAGAAAGUAUUGGGACUAAUGCCAUCCUCAAGGGCCAGUGGGAACUCUAAUAUUGAUUGGGUGAGAUACAAUUCCAUGGAAUUUUACCACUGAACCAGUGAAGGGCUAAUUUUGUCAUUUGUACCAGUUAACUAAUUUGGGAGGAAACAGAACAACACACUCCUGAGAUUGGUUGUCACAGAAUUCCGUGGACUUUAACCAGUGAUGCGCUGAUUUUGUCAUUUGUACCAGCUAACUCAUCUGGGAGGCAACAAAACAAUAUUCUCCUGAGGUUAAUGUGGACGAAGAACUAGAUUUCAUGUAAAAGAGUUUAUUCCUUCUACUUGAGGUGUGACUUGAAGGAAAGUAAUGGAAAUAAUUCUGCCCUCCCAUUCUCAAGGGCCGGGGGAAUUCUAAUCUUGAACGGAAGUGAUUUUGGAAUUGCAUGGAAUUCUCACUGCCAUCCCAAAGAAAUGCUGAUCUUGUCACUCUUACCUGUUCCGUUGCCUGGGGCAGAAUAAAAGGAUGUACUUCAAAGAGCUACAUGAACCAAGAACUGGGUUUCAUAUGAAAUAUUUUAUUCUGUCCUCUUGAGAUGUGACAUGAAGAAAAGUGUUGAGAAUAUUUCUAUCACCUCAUCUUCAAGAAUCAGUAGGAAUUCUCCCAUGGUGGACUUUAGGGUUAACCUGAACAGGUCUUGGGAAAAGGACUUUAAACAUUCUCCUGUUCUGUGGAAUAAGUAUACUUUUUUCUGGACAUACACCUUGUCAUUGAGUUCCAUGUGAUACUAGAGUUGCGUGGAUUUUUAAUCUUUACACCAAUGAAGAUCAGAGGUUAACAGUGCCCUUUUUUUAGAAGUUUGUAUUUGUCACUGAUAACUGUAAUAACUGAUCUUGUUGAAAAGCAUGAGAAAUGAAGAUCUGAUAUGUCACUUUUACCAGCUUCCUCAACUGAGAAAGAAUACAAUGAAACAUGCUGAGAAUUUUUGUGCUUUCUCAGUCUUGUUGAUGAUCUUUCUGUGGGCAUGAAGCAUGGAGAGUGCCAGAGAGGCUGAUCCUCAACAGUGUGACAGCGGAAAGUUGGGUGUGACCAAGAGGUAUGCGGUGCCCAAAUGCCAGUAGGUCCUCAGCAGUACCACCUGAUCGGAAGUGAUAUUGGUGGAAGACAACACUUUGCCGCUUGGAAUUCUCACCUCCACACCAAAGAAGGACUGUUUUUGUCAUUUGCACCAGCUUCUUUCUCCAGGAAAGAUCAAAACGAUGCACUCCAAG